rnacentral:rRNA from 1 species
CCUACGGGAGGCAGCAGUGGGGAAUAUUGCGCAAUGGGCGAAAGCCUGACGCAGCGACGCCGCGUGAGGGAUGAAGGUCUUCGGAUCGUAAACCUCUGUCAGCAGGGAAGAACGGUCACUGUGCUAAUCAGCAGUGAAUUGACGGUACCUGCAAAGGCAGCACAGGCUAACUCCGUGCCAGCAGCCGCGGUAAUACGGAGGGUGCGAGCGUUAAUCGGAAUUACUGGGCGUAAAGCGCUCGUAGGCGGGAUGUCAAGUCCAGGGCGAAAUCCACGCGCUCAACGUGGGAACGGCCUUUGAAACUGGAAAACUGGGGUGUGUGAGAGGAGAGUGGAAUUCCAGGUGUAGGAGUGAAAUCCGUAGAUAUCUGGAGGAACAUCAGUGGCGAAGGCGACUAUCUGGCACAUAACUGACGCUGAGGAGCGAAAGCGUGGGUAGCAAACAGGAUUAGAUACCCCGGUAGUC